rnacentral:lncRNA from 1 species
UCACAUACCUCUAAAUUCACCCAACUGCGUAGAAGCAAAAUCUGGGUGGCCGCCGUCAAGUACCGCCGUUCGUCUUCAUUCAAAGAUGUACCGUUGGUUUGGGAGGUCUCGCGAGAUCUCGCACAGUGUCCCUUCCCGGGCACCGUACAAUCCCGCCACUGAAUGUAUAGAUACCGGAAGCUUGCGAGCGGUAAAACUGGUUACGGCGUGUUUAGGUUAUAGCAUGGAUGCUGAGGACAUUUGCGUGAGAUAGCGUUGCUUGCCCAGUCUAGUUGACUAACGUUAGCUACGUUACAAGACAGUUACAGUAAUAGCUAUGUCGAAAAGAAAACACAACGUUACUCUCAACACGAAAGAAAAAGAUUGGUUGAGAGAAAACGUUCCAAGACGUACUUUGACAAGAUGGAAAAAAAGGAAAAUCAACAGAACUUUGACUGACAUUGAAAAACACACUGCUCAACGACAUGAAAUUGAUGAAGGUGCCAGCCAAAGCGAAGAGCAGAGAGCAGAGCCUUUCACAUUAACACAGGAAAUUGAUGAAGAUGCCAGCCAAAGCGAAGAGCAGAGAGCAGAGCCUUUCACAUCAACACAGGAAAUUGAUGAGGAUGCCAGCCAAAGCGAAGAGCAGAGAGCAGAGCCUUUCACAUUAACACAGGAAAUUGAUGAGGAUGCCAGCCAAAGCGAAGAGCAGAGAGCAGAGCCUUUCACAUCAACACAGGAAAUUGAUGAAGAUCCCAGCCAAAGCGAAGAGCAGAGAGCAGAGCCUUUCACAUCAACACAGGAAAUUGAUGAAGAUCCCAGCCAAAGCGAAGAGCAGAGAGCAGAGCCUUUCACAUCAACACAGGUGAGACAAAACUACAGUGCACACAUUUAUGAAGUUUAUUACAUAAUUUGGUAUGAAAAUAAAGUAUCACAAGACAACCAAUGCAAUAACAACAUUCACACAUUCAUUUCCGCAGUUCAUGUAAGUGUACCGACACUUUCUGUC